ensembl:lncRNA
CCUGGGAGGGUAGGAGAGGUCUUCUGGCCCCCACACACUCUGGGACCCCUGGAGGCUUUAGCAGGGUAGGGGGCUGCAGAGGCCCCUGUCCUCUGCGCGGAAUGGAGCCCCCAGCCGCCACCUGUCACGUGGCUCAGCAUGUGACAGCCCUGCUUUGCUGCUCUCUGGAGCUGAGCCAGGCAGAAGCUAAGGAAGAGCGGGUGCCAGGCAGGGCUGGGCUGAGGCUGAGCCUGCAGCUCUCAGCCAGGAGUGAAUCCCAGAGAGGAGCAGCCACUGGUCUAAGGCCACACAGCCAACCGAGGCCCACCUGAGAAGGUCCAGGAAGGAGGAUACUGACAUAAGUCUACGUGGAACUUCAGUGCCUUGGGACUCCAUCUGAAAGUCAUGGCCCACAGAACUGAGAGGCAAUCCUUGAGCCACCAAAGAGGAUCUGAGGCCAAAGAAGAACAAGAACAAACCAAGAGAGUGUCAUCCACAGAAUCAGAUGAGGCAGAGUGCAGAGGGUCUGUCUGCACACUGGAGACCAAAGGAUUCAGUUGAAGGUCUGGAGCUCAUUGCAACGUCCCAUUUGAGUCCCUAUCAGGAGGCCCAUGGGUCUGCAGUGGAAGGCUGAAAAGCCUACACUGGAAGGCUGAAAGAUCUGCACUGGAAGCUGAAGAGUCUGCAAUGGAAGCCAGGAGACGACGUCCAAGGUGAAGGUGAAGACCGGAGUCCUCUACAGAAACAGAAGCAGACCCAUCCUUCUUCAUUUCCCCUUAAUACAUCCAGGUGACAAGCACUCUAGGAUGGGUCUUCCGCACCCUAAGUGGAGAAUUGCUGAGCCAAUUUAACUGAGCUUCUCUUACUCAAGCUGACACAGUCAGCCAUCACAGCCUCCAAGCGCCGACUGCAGCCAUCUUCUCCUGCUCCUCCUUGCCCUGCAUGCCCGGCUCUGCCCUCUCCUGUCCCCUGUGCAGCUCUCACUUCUAGGCACCUACUUGCCCAAUACACCUGUCUCUUUUACCCACAGCUGUACCUGAGGGUGGCCUGGAGACAGUGCCACUGACUCAAAGCCUGAAGCCACUGCAAAGUCAUACUCUCCAUCCCUCCAGCCCCCAGAUUUCCUGGCGACCCUUCUGGGGAGAGGUAUUUGUUAUUUGUUCGCUUGUCCAUCCAUCCAGUCACAUUUAUAAGCACUUACCUGACUCCUCUGAAUGAGGGGACCAAGGGAGCUGUCAGCUGUGGGAACACCUGGCCACAGGAAUCCAGAAGGGAAAUAGUGUGUGGGGAAAGAGGCUCCCCUGGAGCUGCAGGAAGAAGAAAGUGGGGUGCUGGAUAUUUUCUAGAUCCUUUCAAGGACUUUCCAGGGGUUCUAUUAUGGACAGAUAAGUUAGAUAGAAAUAUUACAGGCAGUCAAAUAGGAUUAGGCCCUCAAGAGAGCCAGGACAAAGGUGAAACACAAUACAACUGUGGCCAGAGAUGUAUCUGUUAGAGACCAGGCCUCAAGAUAAAGACGAGAUGACUAGGCCUAUAUACUUCCUAGACAAACACCGGGCCUAAUGGUCUGGAUAGACAUCCGUCACCCCCAGUGGGUGACCAAAGACCUCUGGAUCCAUCAUUUACUAGAAGAAGUCUUUGUUCUUUGCACACUUGUUACAUGACUUGUUUCCCAAUUGGAUCACUAGUUUCUAAGUGACUAUGCUUAUAACUUUAUUCAUUAUAGCUGAAAUCCACAUUGUACCCACGUGGGUUUUGCUCUAUAAAACUUCCCUGUAAAGUGGAGUCCUCCGGCUACCCAUUUGGGACCCCUCCUGCCUCUCGGGAGCUAGCCUCUCAAUAAACAUCUACUGUUCCUAC